GGCGAACGCUGGCGGCGUGCCUAAUACAUGCAAGUAGAACGCUGAAGAGAGGAGCUUCCUCUUCUUGGAUGAGUUGCGAACGGGUGAGUAACGCGUAGGUAACCUGCCUUGUAGCGGGGGAUAACUAUUGGAAACGAUAGCUAAUACCGCAUAACAAUGGAUGACACAUGUCAUUUAUUUGAAAGGGGCAAUUGCUCCACUACAAGAUGGACCUGCGUUGUAUUAGCUAGUAGGUGAGGUAAUGGCUCACCUAGGCGACGAUACAUAGCCGACCUGAGAGGGUGAUCGGCCACACUGGGACUGAGACACGGCCCAGACUCCUACGGGAGGCAGCAGUAGGGAAUCUUCGGCAAUGGGGGCAACCCUGACCGAGCAACGCCGCGUGAGUGAAGAAGGGUUUCGGAUCGUAAAGCUCUGUUGUAAGUCAAGAACGGGUGUGAGAGUGGAAAGUUCACACUGUGACGGUAGCUUACCAGAAAGGGACGGCUAACUACGUG
rnacentral:rRNA from 1 species